GGAAAUGUAGCUCAGUUGGUAGAGCGGUAGAUUGAAGCUCUACGCGUCGGAAGUUCGAAUCUUUCCUUUUCCA
rnacentral:tRNA from 1 species